AGAACAUCCACAGGAGCUCUGGAGAAGGAGUCCUGGAAUCUCCAGGGUUGGUGGAAACCCUCAGAGCCUGAUUUUCACAGGAAUAGCCCAUGGAUUGAAUUCUGCAGCUUCCAGUGGAAUUCUUGAGAUUGCCAGGAGAGAGAAAGGCUCCCAGUGGUCACCAGUUUGUCAUGGAUGUCCAGUAGGAUCAACAGGAGAGCCCAGUGCCCUGUGAGGUCACAAGGAGUUCCUUCCUUGUCCUUUCCUCAUGGGAAAUCCAGGAUGUGAGCAUGGAGCACCCAAAGCCUAAAGCCUGGGGAAUAAAACAGGACACAACAAAGAAACCUUGGAAAAUCUGGGAUUUGGGCCAUGGAGAUCCCUGGAUGUGCCCAAAGAAGUUUGAGGUCCAGACUCCAAGGCUAUUGGCACUGGACCAUAAAAUCAGGGAAUUGUGGAAUGGUUUGGGCUGAAGGAGACAUAAAACUCAACUUGUUCCAGUGCCCAAGGGAAGGGACACCUUCCUCUAUCCCAGGUUGCUCCAAUCCCCACCCAGCCUUGCCUUGGACACGUCCAGGGAUGGGAAUUCCACCACCUCUCCACAACUAAAGAUAUCAAUUUCUACAUCCUGAAAAUGAUAAAUAAAGGAUUCACAUUAAACCUUGA